UCACUCGUCUCCACAUUGGCGCCUGGAGCAUUACUCGUUGUGGUGGACAGUAAUGACUCAGCCAGGCAAAGGAGUACGUGCUCCUGGCAGCCUGGCAGCCCCACAGGUGGGAAGAUGAAGCAGAGGUUGAUACAGAUGGGAACAUUCUGCCUUCCUGAGGACUGGAUCGAAAUGGGAGUUAUUUGCGAGCAUUCUCUGUGGAUGUUGCCACGGCUGAUACUCUCCAAAUCUGCCUGCUGAUGUCUGCCUGGCUUGCUCCGGCCUCUCCUCAACCCACUGUGCCACCUUUGUAGAGUCACCAGUGCAGCUACGGAGUGAAAGAAAAUGAAAUUUUUCAUUACCAGGAAAGGUGCCUAAUAUCUCCAGAACAUGCAUGAGAUCACCUUUAUAUUACUCUUUGGAGCCCAGGUAUUGUGUAUCAGCUGACAAGGCUUCCUUCAACUGUAAAAGCCGCUGAAAGAGGACUCCUCCCCUUCUCAAGAAGGAGACAAAGGUAACAGUUUCGCAAGCUGUCUUGACGGGAGCUGUAUCACUGAGUAACUGGGAUGCCUUGGUGACUGACUACUCGAUAUGGCAGGAUUAUCAUUCUCUGGCUCACUCCAUGAACAACAUCAAAGCCAAGUGAAAAGAAGGUGUAUUGGGCUGAAAACCUUUGUCAGCUAUUGUGUGGAUAAAGCAUUUGGAUAAAUCCUUUGUCUGGAAUGAAAACUCCAUCCAUCACAAAAGGAGUUAUUUAGUCCCAAGAGUGUGCAGUUCUAAAAUAAGCAGUGCUUACCCCUCCGGUGUGUGGCCAGAAGAGCUAUGGUCAUCUUGCAGAACUGGAUGAAGUAUAGAAGCAUGUCUUGCAGAAAGAGAGCCUGCCAGUCUUGACACGUGGACUGCAACCAAUGGAGAUUCUCAGUUUUGCAAUAUACCAUCUCUGCAUUAGGUGUUUUAUAAAUAGAUGAUAAAGGAUUCCUUGCUCUGAAGAGAGUGCAACCUAAAAUAGACAAGACAGAGGAAGGAUGAGAGAAGCUAACCAGAUUUCCAUUAUAUUGUCUGAUCUUCUGGACAGUUUGCAGUAGUAGGAAUUGUGCCUCUUUUUUUUGUUAUUCUGUUAGCAGCAUCUGUAAAUGUGGGGAAAACCACUGAUGUAACUCACUUAACCAUUUCCACCUGUAUCUCAACACAGUCCUUUAAGAAUACGCAGAUUAACUACUGCAUCUCUUCCAAAGCAUAUGUAACAUUUCUUCCCUUCUACAAAUUCUUUGCUAAGUUUAAAUAUAAAUGUCUUACAUGAAGAUGCUUUAAUCAUCUUUUCCAAGACAUCCUACAGCUUAUCCUGUUCUAGUGAGAUGUGGGAAACCCAUUUCAACGGCAAUAGUGGAACCAAUUAAUUCACAAUUUAUUUCUAUUGAUCUUUGCGAGUUGCAGUGUAUAGAAAAUUACACUACCUCAUACAGAAAACUAGCAGGGAAUUUUUUUUGUUAUUUAGAAGAAGCUGUCAACUCAAUGUAUAUGAAAGCUUGAGAAAUUCCUCAGGAGGUUCAAAACUAGCUGGCUAUCUCACUUCAUUCUUCUGCCUCUGCACUUUGGCACAUGAGUCUAAGAGAUUUCUGUCAUCAUUUAAGAGAGUCAUGGCUAAAUGGAAGAAGACUGAACCUGAGAAUGGAAUAAUCUGUUUGCAGAAUUAAGUGGCACAAUGCUGAGAAAUUCUUCCAGUUGCAAAGGAAACAAAAUGGAAGCUCUUCUCUCUACAAAACAUGCAAGCUUUGCAGACAGUAAGAGACAGCCAGCAGUAAUCUAUUCCAAUAGCAUUUGAGGAGGCAUAAGUUUAUGGCAAAUUUCAAGGCAUCACAAAAGAUAAUCACAGGAGCUAUUUUAAUCUCCAAUAUUUCACAAUGUAUAUCACAGCAUGAACCAUUAAUAUAACUAAAUUGUGAAGUGUUCUCAAAGAUCCUUACACUCUGUUAGCUAAAUAAUGAAACCUGGAGUUUCACUGCUGAUUGCUCCUAUAGCAAAAAUCAAAUGCUAAAACCUCCUACUUUUUAUUAGCACUGACAAGGGAUUAAAGAUGAUGUAGGAAUUUGUAUUAAUCUGCUUUUAUUUUUAUGGAAGUAUGUAAAACCUGCAUGUUCUCAAUAUGGCAAUAUACCAUCAUUUGAGAUAUACUACCUCUGCACCAGAUGUUCUACAGAGGAGCAGUACAGCCCCGCUUAGAAAGGACUGCAACCUAAAAUAGACAAGAGAGAAGACGGGCAAAAGAUAUAGUGAAAGCACCAAAAGAAGCCGAAUUAGUCAUGCAAAGUAUCUUCCCUACUCUUCUUCAGCUGUAGUUCAUAAAAUUGUUCACAGAGAAUUUAGCUGCCACCCAACAAAACAAGCCCUGACUAAAUUGCAGGAGCAAGCAAAAGCUGUAGGAGUGGCAGCUGCCAGCAGCAGAAUGAUCUAUCCCCAUAACAAAUUAUACUGGCUAGGAAUCACUGACAUCAGAUUUGCUAAUCAGAGUCCUGGUUUCUCUCAAACUCCUGAGCAGAACAACUUUGAAUGAAAUAGAGUUAAGAGUCUACAGUGGGCUACUAGACAAGAUGAAAGACUAGGGUAUGCCUUUACUUGAAAGCCCAGAAGAAAGCUAUUGAAGAGACAUUUGUGUUGCACCAAAGCAUUUUUAGUGGGAAGAGGUUUUAGUAGACAUAAAGCCACUUUAUAAUUCUUCUGUACUGCCAGCAUGAGAACCAGACCCUCUUUGGUGUCUUAGAAGGUGUUACUAUAAGAAGUGGAAGACCUGGAUGGAGAGACAGAGAACACCAGAAUAGAUAGAAAGAUGUCAACUCUUUUUUCCUGCUUUUUCAGACAAAGGGACUCUGAGCCAGUAGCAUGAAGCCAUUUCUUGUUUGUAGAUAUUCUGGGAGAAGUUAGUGACACAAACAAGAGCAGCAAGAGCAGGGGAGCAGCGUGCUCUUCCCAUGUCCCGUUGGUGGUUCUGAUGACAAGUCUUUGGCAUUGCAGGAUGCUCACUGGAGCCAAGAGACCACAGGCAAACUUGUUUCUAUUUUUAUGUUUUAUUUUUUGUUUUUAACAGAGUUUCAUACUCCCUUUUCUAAUAAUGCAAAGCUGCAGUGCCUUUGCAGUCAGGCCUUUCCUUGUUGGCUUUCCAGAAUAUUUUAUUACUCAGCCAGAUCUGUCUAAAUUCUUAUGAAAAUGAGAGCUACUAUUAUUUACCAUAAAACAAGAACAAAAGUAUAAUACCCCUGGUCCCUCUGACUGUUUGGCAUCAAGGGAACCAUGGAUUAAUUAUGAGUCCUACUGGCUGCCUGACAGCAAAAUCCUCAAGAAUUAACUUCUUCAAUAAAUUACUAAAAUGUGAAAAUAAUUCAGUACAAUCUAGGAAUGCCUUGGCAUUGCAGUAUAAGAUUUAAUAGUAAUUCCCUGCACUUUCUGUUCUCAGGAUGAAAGGUGCUUUAUAAAUAUAAAGGGACAUCUAUUUCAAAAGAGCUUAGUAUUACGGCUGCAUAAAACCUUGAAGACCUCUGGUUCCAUGUUUCUAUUCCUUCCACGGCAAAUACAGUUUCAGAGGUUUCCCUGCUCCCAAGGGAGGCACCAAACAGCUGAAGUGUCACUACUGAGGAAAGAGCCUUUUCUUUCAAAGUGGACAGUACGACAGGCUAGAGGCAGCGACCGGAAACCAGGCCUCCUUCCGAAGGAAAAGCAGCAUAUAAAAUCAAUGAAGGGGAGCAACGGGGUGCAGUGUAUGCUGAAAAAAUCUAGUUCCUGUUUAGAUACCUCACUAGUGAGGGAGAGAUGGAGGCUUUUAAAGAUACAGAUCAACAUCUCAGGGAUUUUCAGGAGCAUAUGAGGUGCCUGAUUCCCACUGAACCUCAUCUCAAGGCAUUUAAACUCCUCUGAAAACCCCUGUCUUUUGUAAAUAUGCUGCUCCUAAAGCUCCAUAUGUAUUCACCACUCUAGUGCCCUAUUAAUUUUAGUGAUUUUUUCCUGCAUGUGCCUCCUACAUCUGUGUCAGUCAGUGGCAGCUAAGUAUGUCCUGCUUUUGUGAGGCUAGUAGUCUGAGCAAAAUGAACGCUGAAGAAAAUUAAUACAUUAGCAUCAACUGACACAGAAUAAUGCCAGUCUGCUGGAUGGCACUGGUAAUGGCUUUUAUUUGCUUUCCAAACAUAUUUGCACGAAAGUGUUUUGCCAAGAAAGACAGUAAAAAGGAAAAAGAGAGCGAGUGUUAAAUAUAGAAUAUAUUUCUACAUUGUGCUAAUAUCAUCAUGAGGACGUGGGUCAUCCAGGCAACAGAAAGAAUCCAUGGAGAUCUCUGAGCUGAAGCAAGAGAUAUGCAUAGCAAGGCCUCACAGCAAUGGCUACAGUAAAUGGUUUGUGAACAGCGAGUCAACAGGGCUGACUUAUUCAAGGAAUGGAUUGUGGAUAUACAAUUUCGCAACAGCUAAAAUCCUAAAAAACAAAGCCUGUACAUGGUCAUUUGAAAACAGAUAAGCAAGCUAUAUAGAGCCAACUGUUCUUGGCAAGCAGCUCUUCCAGUUCACAAGGUAUCUAGCCGUUCUCUUGUUAUACAGCUGGACAAAGGGAAGAGCAUGGCGCUGAAAUGAUUUGUCCUUGUUAUGUACAUACAGGACUGAGAAGAGAGCACAAAAGAUAGGUUAAAGCAACAUGCUCGUCUACCAAUGCCAAUGCAGAACAUUGUCCUUGCAACACAUUUCCCUGUUCAAUUCCAGCCGAUUCAAGCAAUGGGGUGAAACCACUUGGAAUUAUACUAAGAAUUUUUUGGUAGAAGGGAUUGAACUUUUUUUUUUUUUUU